UGCUUGCGGGCGCCAUGGCGGCCGCGGGAAUUCGAUUAGAGUUUGAUCAUGGCUCAGGAUGAACGCUAGCGGCAGGCUUAAUACAUGCAAGUCGAGGGGCAGCAGCUUUAUAGCAAUAUAGAGGCUGGCGACCGGCAAACGGGUGCGGAACACGUACACAACCUUCCUUGAAUAGGGGGAUAGCCCAUAGAAAUGUGGAUUAAUACCCCGUAAUAUAGCGGUGUGGCAUCACACUGUUAUUAUAGUUUCGGCGAUUCGAGAUGGGUGUGCGGCUGAUUAGGUAGUUGGCGGGGUAAAGGCCCACCAAGCCUUCGAUCAGUGGCUGAUGUGAGAGCAUGAUCAGCCACACGGGCACUGAGACACGGGCCCGACUCCUACGGGAGGCAGCAGUAAGGAAUAUUGGUCAAUGGACGCAAGUCUGAACCAGCCAUGCCGCGUGAAGGAUGAAGGUCCUCUGGAUUGUAAACUUCUUUUAUAGGGGGCGAAAAAAGGUCUUUCUAGAUUACUUGACAGUACCCUAUGAAUAAGCACCGGCUAACUCCGUGCCAGCAGCCGCGGUAAUACGAAUCACUAGUGAAUUCGCGGCCGCCUGCAGGUCGACCAUAUGGGAGAGCUCCCA
rnacentral:rRNA from 1 species